rnacentral:rRNA from 1 species
CCUACGGGUGGCAGCAGUGGGGGAUAUUGGACAAUGGGGGGAACCCUGAUCCAGCGACGCCGCGUGAGUGAAGAAGUAUUUCGGUAUGUAAAGCUCUGUCAGCAGGGAAGAACGAAAUGACGGUACCUGACUAAGAAGCCCCGGCUAACUACGUGCCAGCAGCCGCGGUAAUACGUAGGGGGCAAGCGUUAUCCGGAAUUACUGGGUGUAAAGGGAGCGUAGACGGUUAAGUAAGUCUGGAGUGAAAGGCCGGGGCUCAACCCCGGGACUGCUCUGGAAACUAUUUAACUUGAGUGCAGGAGAGGUAAGCGGAAUUCCUAGUGUAGCGGUGAAAUGCGUAGAUAUUAGGAGGAACACCAGUGGCGAAGGCGGCUUACUGGACUGUAACUGACGUUGAGGCUCGAAAGCGUGGGGAGCAAACAGGAUUAGAUACCCUUGUAGUC